UACGGGGGGAGCAAGCGUUGUUCGGAUUUACUGGGCGUAAAGGGCGGGUAGGCGGCCACCGCAAGUCAGUUGUGAAAUCUCUGGGCUUAACCCAGAAAGGUCAACUGAUACUGCGGGGCUAGAGUGCAGAAGGGGCAACUGGAAUUCUCGGUGUAGCGGUGAAAUGCGUAGAUAUCGAGAGGAACACCUGCGGCGAAGGCGGCCAACUGGGCCGGACCUGACGCUGAGGCGCGAAAGCGUGGGGAGCAAACAGG
rnacentral:rRNA from 1 species